rnacentral:rRNA from 1 species
CAGGAUGAACGCUGGCGGCGUAGCUUAACACAUGCAAGUCGAACGAAGCAACUAUCUUGCUGCAAGAGAGUUGACUUAGUGGCGGACGGGUGAGUAACGCGUGGGUAACCUGCCUCAUACAGGGGGAUAACAGUUGGAAACGACUGCUAAGACCGCAUAACCCGCUAGUGUCGCAUGACACGGACGGAAAAUAUUUAUAGGUAUGAGAUGGGCCCGCGUCUGAUUAGCUAGUUGGUAAGGUAACGGCUUACCAAGGCGACGAUCAGUAGCCGACUUGAGAGAGUGAUCGGCCACAUUGGGACUGAGACACGGCCCAAACUCCUACGGGAGGCAGCAGUGGGGAAUAUUGGACAAUGGGGGAAACCCUGAUCCAGCCGACGCCGCGUGAGUGAAGAAGUAUUUCGGUAUGUAAAGCUCUAUCAGCAGGGAAGAUAAUGACAGUACCUGACUAAGAAGCCCCGGCUAACUACGUGCCAGCCGCCGC